CUGGAUUCCCAGAGGUCAAGAGCUACCAGACCUUUCUGCAGGAACACUGCUUCAACAAGACCACUUCAUCUGGACUGCUACCACCACAGUGUCAGCCAGCACAGAGCCACAUCUACAAGCCUUUUAAAUAUCUCCAGGAAUGACGACACAGCCUGGGCACCCUGUUCCAAUGUUCGACAAUUCUUUCCAUUUUGAAUUUUUUUCUGAUAUCCAACCUAGAAAAGUCACAGUGAACACAUCAGCCAUCAGAAAUGAAACAAGUGGAAUGAGAGGAGAUGAAAAAUCAAGCAUAUAUGUUGUAUCCUCCUUUCUGGAUCUUCAUGAACCCCAGUAAUGUGAUGUGGAAGAAAAAUUUCUAUGCAAUGAAUCUUCUCCUAUAGUUUAAGUUGUCAAGUUAUCACUGUCAAAAGGAAAAGAUCUUAUAAUUGCUAAAGAUAUAGAAUUUAAUUUUCAGAGCAGAAUGAAAGACAUGCCAUUCAUGAAAGGCCUUUUCCCUGAGCUUGUUUAAGAAACAAUGUCAUUGCAAAAUGCUGUACCAUCUAAACAAAAUAACAGA